UUGCAAGCGACGCAAAGCGAUCUUACAACAAAGAUCGUCAAACUUGAGGAGAAGAAACUUGCUCUAGAGGCGCAAGUGGAGAUACUAUCGUAC